GUCCAGAGCUCCUGAUUUUUGGGAAAGUUCCUCUUCUCACCAGGAUCUAGACUGUGUGCUUUAAAAACGACAAAGGUGUACCACUGUGAAAUUCUUUAAAAAUGUGCCUGUGAAGAGUGCCAGAUUGACAGCUCUGCUCCUAGAGCAGAGUCAGCACCCACAGCUGCAGUACAAACUUCCCUCAGCCAACAUGCUCCUGGGACCACCUGUUGUGAUAAGAUGACAAUUCAGUUUCAGUGUCCAUUCAAACCCUGAUUUUUAUGCUGAGUUUUCUGACAAGGGUGACGAUUUUCAUCAAAAAUGGCAAUGUUUUGGUGUUGUGGAUAUCUGUCCACCUUUCUCACAGCACAAUGAGACAAGGUGCUUGUCUACAUUAGGGGAAUUUGCACUGAGUUAACUAUAUUGAUUUAAUUACACCUGUGAAAUGCCCUAAACUAGACAUAUUACACUGGUCCAAUUAAUGUUGGCAAUUUACUAAAGUAAGUCGCAAUGGUACAAACCUCAUCAGAGGCCUGUGCAGUACAUCUGCACCUGACAUUUGCACUGGUGUAGCUACAUCUGGAAAACCUUGGGGUGAAAAAAGCAUGUUUGUGCAAAAUGUGUGUUUUGUGGGGGGAAGAUGCAUAUUGAGUGCUUCCUUUGUAACCUUAAUAGUGUUCUUUUAACAUCGUUUUUGUGUGUGUAAUUUUUAUAGCAGAGCAAGAGCUCUGCUACAGUUAAGGU